rnacentral:rRNA from 1 species
GAUGAACGCUGGCGGCGUGCUUAACACAUGCAAGUCGAACGGAAAGGCCCAAGCUUGCUUGGGUGCUCGAGUGGCGAACGGGUGAGUAACACGUGGGUGAUCUGCCCUGCACUUUGGGAUAAGCCUGGGAAACUGGGUCUAAUACCGGAUAGGACCAUCGUUUAGUGUCGGUGGUGGAAAGUUUUUCGGUGUGGGAUGAGCUCGCGGCCUAUCAGCUUGUUGGUGGGGUAAUGGCCUACCAAGGCGUCGACGGGUAGCCGGCCUGAGAGGGUGUACGGCCACAUUGGGCCUGGGAUACGGCCCGGACUCCUACGGGAGGCAGCAGUGGGAAUAUUGCACAAUGGGCGCAAGCCUGAUGCAGCGACGCCGCGUGGGGGAUGACGGCCUUCGGGUUGUAAACUCCUUUCGCCAAGGACGAAGCGUUUUGUGACGGUACUUGGAGAAGAAGCACCGGCUAACUACGUG